CCUACGGGUGGCAGCAGUGGGGAAUAUUGGACAAUGGGGGAAACCCUGAUCCAGCGACGCCGCGUGAGUGAAGAAGUAUUUCGGUAUGUAAAGCUCUAUCAGCAGGGAAGAAAAUGACGGUACCUGACUAAGAAGCCCCGGCUAACUACGUGCCAGCAGCCGCGGUAAUACGUAGGGGGCAAGCGUUAUCCGGAUUUACUGGGUGUAAAGGGAGCGUAGACGGUAGAGCAAGUCUGAUGUGAAAGGUACGGGCCUAACCCAGGGACUGCAUUGGAAACUGUUUAACUGGAGUGCAGGAGAGGUAAGCGGAAUUCCUAGUGUAGCGGUGAAAUGCGUAGAUAUUAGGAGGAACACCAGUGGCGAAGGCGGCUUACUGGACUGUAACUGACGUUGAGGCUCGAAAGCGUGGGGAGCAAACAGGAUUAGAUACCCCUGUAGUC
rnacentral:rRNA from 1 species